rnacentral:rRNA from 1 species
UACGUAGGGGGCGAGCGUUGUCCGGAUUCAUUGGGCGUAAAGAGCUCGUAGGCGGCUUGCUAAGUCGGGUGUGAAACCUCCAGGCUCAACCUGGAGCCGCCACCUGAUACUGGUAUGGCUGGAGUCCGGUAGGGGACCACGGAAUUCCUGGUGUAGCGGUGAAAUGCGCAGAUAUCAGGAGGAACACCGAUGGCGAAGGCAGUGGUCUGGGCCGGUACUGACGCUGAGGAGCGAAAGCGUGGGGAGCGAACAGG